GUACUCUUGAAAAAUUUGGGCUUGAAGGGAAAGCAUAAGUUACAGAGCCGUUGGAACGCUCUACCUUAUGUGGUGGUUGAAAAGCUACCUGACUUGCCUGCGUACAGAGUCAAGCCUGAUAGUGGAAUGGGGAAACUUAGAACCCUACACAGAGACAAUAUUUUGCCUAUUGGUGAGCUGGUCCGGAUAGCUGAUGAGGAGCAGGAUGCUCCAUUGCCGGUCGCAAGAUCUGUGACUAGGACUCAAAGAAAAUCUGUUUCACCUAAGAGUCCUAGUUUGAGACAACCAGACCGCUACUUAGUUGAUGGGGACACUAGUGAUUCUGAAUGUGAAAUUAGACCCGUUUACAGAUGGAGAUCUGAACCUCCUGAUUCCUGUACUCGUGGUUUUCAGAGAAGCAGGGACGAUGUCAUGCCAGUAGUGGACACUGCUGAUGAACAACAAACUGCAUCUGAUCCAGAGGAGAGUGAGGUUGAGUCUGAGGUGAUAUCAGAGCCUGAACAUGUCCUUGCUAAUGAGAGUGAUGAUAUUGUUAAUAUUGGUAACGAUGCAGAUACCCCUGUUGGACAACGAGGUAGAACUGUAUCUGAUAAAGAUCCAGUUGUAUCAGCUGAGGAAGUUGAACCUCAGAGAAAUUCUCCUCGACGAGGGAAGAGGUCAAUUAAGCCGGUUAUUAGGUUAACAUAUGAUGAGGCAGGAAGAUCUAAGGACCAGCCUUUGACUAUAGUUCAUAGGGGUGUAGUCAUAAAAAUUGGUUAAUAAACUAAUUUUUCAUGCCAGAGUUGGGUCUCAUGAGGGCAUGAGGACAUUUAAGGGGGGGGGAGAGUGUAGCCCUGUGCUAUAUUUUCCUUUAAUUUUCUUUAAGUUAAAAGGUGUUAAUAAAUGUUUAAUGAUUUUGAAUGCAUUAUGCAGAAUGUUUCAUUUUCCUAUGGCCUGUAUUUUAUUUUCAUUUGAGUAUGUACGUUUUGGUUGUUUUCUUAAUGUGACCUUUGAACCGGAGGGUUAAAAGGUUGGAAGCUCGGCAGCUGAGGAAGGGUGAACCAGGAAGAGGACGGACGGCUAGUGCGAACUCGUGAACCAUUUAUACCGGCUUAGAUCUAUGCAUGCAAUAAUACUCUGUCUAGGAUAUAGACUAGAGGUAUACUGUUUAGGUUGUCGGAUAGAUAACCACCACAUCAGUGAUCGUGUGUAUUGAUGUUCUUUCUGAGGUAUACAGGAGAUGCUGAACCUGCAUCCAGACGUGGACGCGGCGAAGCCUGAGUGCGGUUAAGUGGGAUGUACGCCAGCAUAAGGAUCUUGCCGGUCGUUUUGGAUAAAACGCCAGCGUGGACCAAUCGGCACGAGGACCGCGACUUUCCGCUCGCUUCCACACGCACGCACACACACUCCGCCAAGUGAGGUGAAAGGUACAUUUGAUUGUUUGUUUGUUUGCUCCUGUGAGUGAAGCGGCCGUUCUGUUUUUGGCCUCCACGUACCCAAGCGACGACACAGGCCUGCAACGUGGGGAUAAAUAGUUCGUGCCGGCAUAGGACUGCAUUUUGAUUUCAACAUUUCCAAAAUGCAUGUGAUUUCAUCUGUCAAUUGAUUUACCUGUUUCUUGUGUGAAUUGAUUUACCUGUGGGUCGAUGCACUGAAUGAUUCUUGUUAACGUGUUAAUCGAAUGAAACCAUCUUUCAUAGUAACUUAUGUGUUUUUAUUGUCAUUACCAUGCAGUGAUUCCGAUACAUUAGGGGUUUAUUUCUACAAGACACUACAAUACAACUAAACAUAAAAUCGGG
ensembl:lncRNA